UUUCGGUUUUCGAAACGUUUCGUUUCCGUGUUUCCGUUUCUGUUGCUAUGCAACAUAGAUUAAAAGUACGAGGUAGAUAGAAAAAAAUAGGAAUAGGUUAUUGUUGGUUUAUACUUUAUAAUCGUAUUACGCCCAUGAUAUGACAGUAUAUCGAACCGGUAAUUGGAAAGUUAAUUCCCAAAGAAUACGAU
rnacentral:sRNA from 1 species